rnacentral:rRNA from 1 species
UACAGAGGGGGCGAGCGUUGUUCGGAAUUACUGGGCGUAAAGGGCGCGUAGGCGGCCUUCUAAGUCAGACGUAAAAUCCCUCGGCUCAACCGAGGAACUGCGUCUGAUACUGGAAGGCUUGAAUCCGGGAGAGGGAUGUGGAAUUCCAGGUGUAGCGGUGAAAUGCGUAGAUAUCUGGAGGAACACCGGUGGCGAAGGCGGCAUCCUGGACCGGUAUUGACGCUGAGGCGCGAAAGCUAGGGGAGCAAACGGGG